CGCUUGACGAGAAUCUUGAAGAGCGUCAAACAACAAAUCCCAACAUGUACACACUGUGCUUCCUUUAGAUGACACAUAAGCACAUGCACUGAAAAGCACACACACGCAUCAACAUACAUAAUACUCGCGCAUACAUGAGCACAUUCUCACGGGCGUGUACACACAGACACACACACGCUUCCCUAUGAACUUUUUUUAUGGACAUAUCUUUAUUACAGAUAUGUCUACAAAUGACCAUGUGUGACGUAUGCGUGUGUGCGUCCAAAGGUCAGCACGUUGAGCGGAGAUGAAGGUUCACGGCAAUCAGGAAGUGUGGAUGUAUCAGGAAGUGUGUGUGUGUGUAGGUGACGGCGAUGAAGUCGGAGGUGAAAGCCGAUGUGCUCAAGUUCUUCUCGCUUCUUCUGAGCUUUCUACUUCUGACUCUGGGAUUGGGCGUGGCCUGUUGCGGUGUUUGGAUCUGCUUCGACAACACCAGCCUCAUCGGCGUCGUUUCUUCCCAUGAGCUGCAGGCUGUGGGGGCGGGGCUAAUGUUGAUUGGCACCCUGGUGAUGGUGUCCAGCUUGGUGGCGUGUUUAGGAGCACGCUGGGAAAACGCAAUUCUCAUGCUGAUUUGCAUGUGGGGGCUGCUGUUCCUGUUCCUGUGCUGCGUGGGCCUGCUCCUGCUGCUGCUGCUCAGCAGAGGCCAGAUCGAGGAGAAGGCAGAUGCGGCGGUGGCUCACAUGAUACGCCAGUACCGGGGCGACGGGCGGCAAGAUGGCCUCCUGGACGACCUGCAGCAACACGAGGUGUGCUGCGGCCUGACGGGCCCAUCCGAUUGGCUGCAGAAUUCCUUCGUGCAGACGCUCAACACGAGCGCCACGAGCACGCUUCCUUGUUCGUGUUUUGGCUCGCCUCAACGCAACUUGGAAACGGCGUGGUGCUCGCAAGACCCCAACGUCACGCACGCGCACGCCAUUGCACUCGCAAACUGCACGCACACGCAGGGCUGCCGCGAGCUGCUCACUGAUUGGCUGCACGAGAACGUGGUGACGGUGGUGGGAAUGGACAUCAGCUUGAUGGUGGCGCAGGUCCUGCAACUGGCGCUGGCCCUGCAACUCUGGAGGACUUUUCGCCGCAGGGACACCGUGAGGACAACGCAUCAAACGGAUGAUGCUGAUUGAUUCGGUCCACGUAGGCCACGCCCAGGACAGCAGCAACGACGCUGACUCUGCCCACCAGAUCAUCCAGGAUGGGCAACUGUGAUCCACGAGGGCCACGACCCUGCAUGUUUCCCUCCGCCACCACACCUGAUUCAAGUGGUCAGCUCAUCAACAAGCUCUGAAGAAACCUGGUCACCAUCCUGAUCGUGUGAAUCAGGUAUAUGGGUGUGGGGGUGUCUAAAACAUGCAGGAUGGGGGCCCUCGAGGACCCUGCGCUACGUUGCCUCUCACUUGUGAGUGGCUGUUCUCAUUGCCCCAUUUUGCAUGUCAAUCAUCACAGCUGGACCAGAUGUCAUCAAAAGUUUUCAUGUGAACACCCAAAGGGUUCUCAUGAGCUCAUCAAAAUGUCAAGAAAAAUGUGUGCCAUCCCAAUUGUUUGUGCCAUCUGAUGUCAUGGGUGACGUCAUACAUUUGUAUGCAAAGAAUGACAAACUUAAUCUGUGGCUUUAUUCUUUGAACUUUAUCCUUGACACCAUUCA